rnacentral:rRNA from 1 species
UACGAAGGGGGCUAGCGUUGUUCGGAAUUACUGGGCGUAAAGCGCACGUAGGCGGAUCGAUCAGUCAGGGGUGAAAUCCCAGGGCUCAACCCUGGAACUGCCUUUGAUACUGUCGAUCUGGAGUAUGGAAGAGGUGAGUGGAAUUCCGAGUGUAGAGGUGAAAUUCGUAGAUAUUCGGAAGAACACCAGUGGCGAAGGCGGCUCACUGGACUGGUAUUGACGCUGAGGUGCGAAAGCGUGGGGAGCAAACAGG